GCUAUUUGUGCUUGUACUAUCUCUUCAUAUCUUCUAUUAUCUUUUCGUCAUUUCAAAUCUAGAUAAAUGUUCAUCAUUCUUCCACGUAUAUUGCUUCAGUCUCCUCCAUGUCUCUGUUUUGCAACUCUCAGCUUUCUUCAUUACCCAUCUCUCUACUUCUCCGAUUCUAAGGUUAGUUUGGAAUUGUGAAAAUUUUUCCUGUUUCAACCAUUUCUCUGAGUUCGUAAGUUCAUAUCAUCCUGUAUAUGUUUAUUUUGCUUGAUGGUAUCAAUUUGCUGGACACAAAAUUUAGUACUUAGCUACCUAGAACCAAUAAUCAAUUCUAGUCUCCCUUUCUCUCCUAUAUCUGUGUAAUGAUGAACUUUAUAUUUGUAGUUAUUUUCUUGUACUAUGUCCAAUUCUUUGCUUGCCAUGUAAAGUAUACUACAACUCCAUUUAUAACAGCAACAACCUUCUUCCAGGGGAAGAGAGGCGGAUCUACAGUAUCUGGUGGGGGUUCUCAAGAACCCACACCCGCUACAGGAGAACCUGUAAUUAUAGCAAAAACUAUAACAAAUAAGUUUUCCGUGAUCGGAACCCACAACCAAAUAGCUGGUUAGCUCAAUGGCGAGGAAGGCACCCUGAAAUUUAACUGUCCAGUAAUACGCGGGAUCGAACUGCAUAAGGGUUUCCACAAGGUUGAAAUCCUAGAUCCAUCUCUGCCUACUAUAUACAGUAAAAGGACUGGUAAUUGAUUCGUGAAUAGCUUUCUUUCUCUUUCCCAGGGUUUAGUUGUGCUUUUUCAUGUGUAAUAAUCAAUUCAGAUAAUUAGAUUCUUCUUUUGAGGAUAUAUAAUUAACAUGCCAAUUACUUGAAAAUCUAGCUAAUUGGAUGCUUAAAAAUAACAUGGUCAAUGUAGUGUGUCAAUUAGUUAGUUGUAGAUCCUACUAUUUGACACAUCUCUAGAUUGGUAGAAGUAAAAUCUUCUGUCUCUAGUCUAAUUACAAGGUUACUUUGCUUAUGUUUAAGGGAUGACACAACCACAAACAAUGCUUCGAUGGAACAGAAUGUACUUGACAAUUUGCUGGAAACUAUGAUUGAUAGAGAUGAUGCUGUAUCAUCAAGACAUGCAUUUCUGGAGGCACAUAAUGGAAAUAGAAGUUUGUCAAAGGUUGUUGACAAAGUGAAAGCCGUGAGUUCAACUUCUGUUUGACCAAAUGUCUAUAAUUUUUCAAUUUGUUUAACAUUCAGCUGAGCGCGUUUUGAUUUGAUAGAUUGAGGCCAUCAACACAAAAGGAGUGAAUUGGGCUUCAUAUUUACUUGAACAUUCCAUGUACCUUCAUGUUCAAUUCCCAAAUAAACAAUAGUAAGAUUUGCACCUGUGUUAAAAAGUGACUACACCAAUAAUUAAAAAGUAUUCAUUUUGAUAGUCCAACAUUUGUUAAAACCUAUUGCAACUCCAAUUUUCUCAUUCAUGAAUUAUUUUUAUCCAUAUUGAUUCCCCUUUGAAAGUUUAGUUUGUUUCAGUAAAUUUAUUGUUUGAAUAGUCAGUCAAUCAUGAAAUUAUACAGUAAAGUUUUCUCCUUUUUAUGUGUGUAUAUAUAUUUUUAUUAUAGAAAUGAAUUAAAAUGAAACAAAAGAUUAGUAGAACCUGCAUGUGAUAUCCAAGAAUCACUAGCUACUUCACCUUUUCACUUAUAAUGCCUUCAACAAAUACAUCUGCCACCAUUUUGGCCAUGAUGUCAGAGCUUUCUGGACUGCUCUUACGUAUUCUAUAUGGUUAUAAUCAUAUUUUUUUUACUUGUCAUCUUAAUUGUCUUAUUCAUAACCUGUUUGGUCAAAUUGGAGUUGUCGAUGUAUUCAGCCUCCAUAUUAAGUACCAUUUAACCAAAGAUGUAUAUCCAUGGAUGUCUUUUUUUUAUGCCAAUACUCAUUGCUGCUAUCUGGACAUUGUUUUAUGCAGGUAAUAGUUGAAACAUCAUUAAGUAAAGCGGAAAUGAAAUCUGCAAUUCAAUCUUGUACACCAAACUUUACGCGGAGGCAACAAAUGGCUGGUAAGACAUUGAAAUCGAACUAGCAGAAGGUGAAAUUACUAGCUACAGCAGCAGAAGUGGAGAAAAGAAAUAACUCAAAGCAUGUCCUAUUCUAAACGAAAAUGGUAUCGUUGAAUUAGGAGCUUAUUUGCUAUCUAGCAAGUGUUUUAUGUUUAUUCAGCUAGCUAUAUUUAGCUUCAACGCAAAAUGCACGGGCCUCGACUAUCUAGUAUAAUACAUAACUGUGUUAUAAAAUUAAAUUUAAAUAAAGAUUACUGAACUUAUUAUUUUAAUUAUCAUUUUCACACAUUUGCAUUUUAAUUUUUUUUUCCUGUUG
rnacentral:lncRNA from 1 species